AUCUAUGUGACUGACGGAAAAAGGUGCCAGGAAGGGCACCUGUGGGAGUACCCACGGGGAGCAUAGACCGAUGAGCUUAGCCGACCGUCUGGGCAACC
rnacentral:ncRNA from 1 species